rnacentral:misc_RNA from 1 species
GACCAUCAGAAGACAUGUUUGGCAGUACAAGAUCUUAUUGUUGCACCUGUAUUCCUAUUUAGGUGCACUUUCGUCGGCUUAUGAAUGGUAUAAAUUGUUGGAUGUAAAAAAUAUCCUGGCGGAAACUGUUUCCCACCACAUUUUACCCCAGAUGUUGGUAUCUCCUCUUUGGGUAGAUCUAAGCAAUCUUUUAAAGGACUACUUGAAGUUUAUGGAUGAC